AGUGAUCCUGCCGCCUCGGCCUCCCAAAGUACUGGGAUUACAGGCAUGAGGCACUGCGCCUGGCCUAUGAUGAACUGUCCUUCUAAAACGGGGAAAUAUGGACACAGGCACAUACAGAGGAAGACAGCUGAAGACACAGGGAAGAGGGGACCAGAUAUAAACUAAGAAGAGACACCUGCAGUGGAUCCUUCCCCCACAGCCCAGAAGGAAGUAACUCUGCCGACACGUUGAUCCUGGACUUCCAGCCUCCAGAACUGGGACAGAAUGGAUUUCUGUUAUUUAAGCUCCCCUCUCCCCAGCCAGUGGUGCUCAGUUACUGCCGCCAGGCAAAUUCCAUCACUACCUGAAUGCAGUGUGGGAUCCUGGAUGGGAUCUUGCCACAGAAAAAGGACACCCAUGGAAAAACUAAUGAAAUCCGAACGAGAUCUAUAGUUUCUAGUUCAGAGUAUUGCACCAAUAUUAAUUUCUUCACUUUGACAUAUGUACAAUGGUAAUGCAAGAUGUUAACAUCGGCUGGUUGUGGUGGCUCACACCCAUAAUCCCAGCACUUUGGGAGGCCAAGUCCAACAGGGAUGGAAUCCGUGGCAAAGUGGCGACCCAGAACAGGGACUUGAGGACGUUGCAAAGUGGCUUCUGAACACAGAGACCGGAGGACGUGAACGAAGAAGGUCGGCUGGAGCAGAGGAACCGAAAACGACAAGAUGAAUGGGGACCCCGAGACAAGCCUGCCAGCAGCGGAUAUAAGGCAGGCACUCUUGAUGUGGAAAACUGGAACAGAGCGGGAGAAGGAUUGAAACAUGCUCAUCAAAAAGGUCUUAAAGUUGAUUCUUCUGCUUUCUGUACUUGCAGUCUAAUUCGUACUGUACUUAUGCCGUUAUCUCCUUAUUAUUCUGCGGGACAGCAGGCUGAGUCUAAAAAUCUGAAAGAAUCUGUUGUCCCACCCACAGCUUCAAUUGAAAAUAAAAAACAGGAGAGGGAGGAUAAAAAUUGGCCUAUACUGCCUCCUCCAGUUGCAGAAACAUCUGUGCCGCCUCCUUCGGUAGCAGGAAUAGAGACCCCAAUACAAAGAAUUUUACGCUCUGCUGCCAUAGCUGGAGAGCCCUCAGGACCUUGUGCUUUUCCUAUUUCCGUAAGGCCCGAUUCAAAUAAUCCACAGCAGUUUAUUCAUGAACACACCCCACUAGAGUUUAAGUUGUUGAAUGAAUUAAAAACCAGUGUAGUUAAUAUCGGGGUACAGAGCCCAUUCACUUUAGGAUUGCCAGAAUCUGCAUUUGGUGCUAUGCGUCUUCUACCCUUUGAUGUAAAACACUGGGCUCGAACUUGCUUGUCUGCUAGUGCAUAUCUGACAUGGAAUUUAAAUGGGCAAGAAAUGUGUACAGACCAGGUUAGACAGAAUCGUGCUGCUGGACACGGAGACAUCGCAGAGGAUAUGCUAUUGGGUAAUGGCCCUUAUUCAGACCUGGAACAUCAAAUGGAACUAAACGCGCCUGGGCCACAAUUCCUGAAGAGGGAGUCCCAGUACAAUCCUUUUUACCUUUCAUGGAAGGGUCACAGGAGCCCUCUGCACAAUUUCUUGCAAGAUUACGAGAGGCAGUGAAGUGUCAGAUUCCUCAUGCCACUGCCGCAGAGGCGCUAACCUUAACUUUAGCUUCUGAGAAUGCAGACGCAGAUUGUAAACGUGCACUGGCACCCGUGAGGUGUACUAAAAACUUGGGAAAUUUUCUCAGAGCUUGUCAGGAUGUAGGAAUUGAGCUUCAUCGCUCUGCAAUGUUAGCGGAAGCAAUGGCUGAUUUAGUAGUUGACAAAUCUAAAAGGAGCCAAGGAUUAAGCCCUCAAGUGGGAAAAUGUUAUAAUUGUGGAAAAACUGGACAUUUUGAAAAAGAAUGCCGCCAGAUCUCAGGACAGAGAGGACCUUAUAAUGCAGUACCCCCCCCCUCAGUGGAAAAAACGCCAGGACUUUUAUUUACUUUUAUUUACCCAAUAAAAUGUGAAGGGCUUUAAAGCUCAGGGCCCUUGUUCAGUAGAAGCAAGAAGCCCCCGACCCCUUUUUCCAAAUAUACUUUUUUGUCUUUAUCUUUAUUCCUGCAUUUAUCAUCCUCUGUUCACUACAACAGGGAUCAAGGUCAGUGACAGUUGCCGACAACCUUUGGCAUUCCUUGGCUUGCAGACCCUUUGCUCGACUCUCUGCCUCUUUUGUCACGUGGCUUUCUUCCCUCUUGCCGUUUUACAUAAUCUUCUCUCUGUACCUUUCUCCUCCUCAUAUAAGGACAUAGUGAUACUGGAUUAGGGACCACUCUCAUGACCUCACCAUAAUGUAGUUACAUCAGCAAAGACCCUAUUUCUCGGCUGGGCACAGUGGCUCACGUCUGUAAUCCCAGCACUUU